CAGGAUAUAGACGCAGCAGAACUGCUACUGUUUUUGGCGUCCAGAUUCUUGAAAAUGAAAGAAAAAUUAAAAACUGCACUUUUCUUUAUUUCUCUUUUUCUCUCUCUCUCUCUCUCUCUUUUUUUUUUACAACAGAAUAACCGCUAUUUGUGGAGGAUAGGUGCAUCAACGUCAUAAAAUAAAGAUCACCCAGCUGCAUGUUUCCAGUUUACCCAUUCUGGGUGUGAGAGGAUGAAGAAGAGGAGGAGGAGGAGGAGGAGGAAGAGGAGGUGGAGGUGGCGGGGGCAUCCAGAGGAAGACGCAUGUAAACCCAUUUCCAAACAAACGGGCCAGUGUUCACGGCGGCGCCCGGCAUAAUGAAUCAACGCGAGCGACCGGCACAACAGGACAUGGUGGCCAUUUAACACCGGGAUCUCUGGGAAAUUUAUCCAGGAAUCCUCACUGUAUAUUAAUGCAUAGAGGAGGGGCCCCAUGGCUCCACGGGCCCCAAACGUUCCUGGAGAGGAGGACAUCGGCGUCUCCUGAUGUAAGGAAAGCCCAGAGCUGCAUUGUUUUUAAUCUACUGGAGAUUAAUAAUAAUAAUAAUAAUAAUAAUAAUAGUAAAAAUACUAAUGUUCUGUGAAUUAAAAAAAUGUCACUUUUCGUCUUAAGUCCUGAAACUGUGGUUAGAAUGAAAUGAAAGAAAAAAAAUCAAUAAAAAAAAAGAGGGAAAGUUUAACUAUAAAGUUAGAAAUCAGGACUUGAGUGUGGUUGACUGUUUUUAAAGAGACGGAAAAAAAGUAUUCUGUGUAAAAACAA